UAGGGAAUCUUCCGCAAUGGACGCAAGUCUGACGGAGCAACGCCGCGUGAGUGAAGAAGGAUUUCGGUUCGUAAAACUCUGUUGUUAGAGAAGAACAGCGCAUAGAGUAACUGUUAUGCGUGUGACGGUAUCUAACCAGAAAGCCACGGCUAACUACGUGCCAGCAGCCGCGGUAAUACGUAGGUGGCAAGCGUUGUCCGGAUUUAUUGGGCGUAAAGCGAGCGCAGGCGGUCAAUUAAGUCUGAUGUGAAAGCCCCAGGCUCAACCGGGGAGGGUCAUUGGAAACUGGUUGACUUGAGUGCAGAAGAGGAGAGUGGAAUUCCAUGUGUAGCGGUGAAAUGCGUAGAUAUAUGGAGGAACACCAGUGGCGAAGGCGACUCUCUGGUCUGUAACUGACGCUGAGGUUCGAAAGCGUGGGUAGCAAACAGG
rnacentral:rRNA from 1 species